rnacentral:rRNA from 1 species
UUAAGCGACUAAGCGUACACGGUGGAUGCCCUGGCAGUCAGAGGCGAUGAAGGACGUGCUAAUCUGCGAAAAGCGUCGGUAAGGUGAUAUGAACCGUUACAGCCGGCGAUGUCCGAAUGGGGAAACCCAGUGCAAUUCGUUGCACUAUCGUUAACUGAAUACAUAGGUUAACGAGGCGAACCGGGGGAACUGAAACAUCUAAGUACCCCGAGGAAAAGAAAUCAACCGAGAUUCCCCCAGUAGCGGCGAGCGAACGGGGAGCAGCCCAGAGUCUGAAUCAGCUUGUGUGUUAGUGGAACGGUCUGGAAAGUCCGACGGUACAGGGUGAUAGUCCCGUACACCAAAAUGCACAGGUUGUGAACUCGAAGAGUAGGGCGGGACACGUGGUAUCCUGUCUGAAUAUGGGGGGACCAUCCUCCAAGGCUAAAUACUCCUGACUGACCGAUAGUGAACCAGUACCGUGAGGGAAAGGCGAAAAGAACCCCGGCGAGGGGAGUGAAAAAGAACCUGAAACCGUGUACGUACAAGCAGUGGGAGCACCUUCGGGUGUGACUGCGUACCUUUUGUAUAAUGGGUCAGCGACUUAUAUUCUGUAGCAAGGUUAACCGUAUAGGGGAGCCGCAGGGAAACCGAGUCUUAACUGGGCGUUAAGUUGCAGGGUAUAGACCCGAAACCCGGUGAUCUAGCCAUGGGCAGGUUGAAGGUUGGGUAACACUAACUGGAGGACCGAACCGACUAAUGUUGAAAAAUUAGCGGAUGACUUGUGGCUGGGGGUGAAAGGCCAAUCAAACCGGGAGAUAGCUGGUUCUCCCCGAAAGCUAUUUAGGUAGCGCCUCGUGAACUCAUCUUCGGGGGUAGAGCACUGUUUCGGCUAGGGGGUCAUCCCGACUUACCAACCCGAUGCAAACUACGAAUACCGAAGAAUGUUAUCACGGGAGACACACGGCGGGUGCUAACGUCCGUCGUGAAGAGGGAAACAACCCAGACCGCCAGCUAAGGUCCCAAAGUCAUGGUUAAGUGGGAAACGAUGUGGGAAGGCACAGACAGCCAGGAUGUUGGCUUAGAAGCAGCCAUCAUUUAAAGAAAGCGUAAUAGCUCACUGGUCGAGUCGGCCUGCGCGGAAGAUGUAACGGGGCUAAACCAUGCACCGAAGCUGCGGCAGCGACACUAUGUGUUGUUGGGUAGGGGAGCGUUCUGUAAGCCUGCGAAGGUGUGCUGUGAGGCAUGCUGGAGGUAUCAGAAGUGCGAAUGCUGACAUAAGUAACGAUAAAGCGGGUGAAAAGCCCGCUCGCCGGAAGACCAAGGGUUCCUGUCCAACGUUAAUCGGGGCAGGGUGAGUCGACCCCUAAGGCGAGGCCGAAAGGCGUAGUCGAUGGGAAACAGGUUAAUAUUCCUGUACUUGGUGUUACUGCGAAGGGGGGACGGAGAAGGCUAUGUUAGCCGGGCGACGGUUGUCCCGGUUUAAGCAUGUAGGCUGAUUGUCCAGGCAAAUCCGGAUAAUCAAGGCUGAGGUGUGAUGACGAGGCACUACGGUGCUGAAGUAACAAAUGCCCUGCUUCCAGGAAAAGCCUCUAAGCAUCAGGUAACAUCAAAUCGUACCCCAAACCGACACAGGUGGUCAGGUAGAGAAUACCAAGGCGCUUGAGAGAACUCGGGUGAAGGAACUAGGCAAAAUGGUGCCGUAACUUCGGGAGAAGGCACGCUGGUGUGUAGGUGAAGUCCCUGCGGAUGGAGCUGAGACCAGUCGAAGAUACCAGCUGGCUGCAACUGUUUAUUAAAAACACAGCACUGUGCAAACACGAAAGUGGACGUAUACGGUGUGACGCCUGCCCGGUGCCGGAAGGUUAAUUGAUGGGGUUAUCCGUAAGGAGAAGCUCUUGAUCGAAGCCCCGGUAAACGGCGGCCGUAACUAUAACGGUCCUAAGGUAGCGAAAUUCCUUGUCGGGUAAGUUCCGACCUGCACGAAUGGCGUAAUGAUGGCCAGGCUGUCUCCACCCGAGACUCAGUGAAAUUGAACUCGCUGUGAAGAUGCAGUGUACCCGCGGCAAGACGGAAAGACCCCGUGAACCUUUACUAUAGCUUGACACUGAACAUUGAGCCUUGAUGUGUAGGAUAGGUGGGAGGCUUUGAAGCGUGGACGCCAGUCUGCGUGGAGCCAACCUUGAAAUACCACCCUUUAAUGUUUGAUGUUCUAACGUUGGCCCCUUACCGGGGUUGCGGACAGUGUCUGGUGGGUAGUUUGACUGGGGCGGUCUCCUCCCAAAGCGUAACGGAGGAGCACGAAGGUUAGCUAAUCCUGGUCGGACAUCAGGAGGUUAGUGCAAUGGCAUAAGCUAGCUUGACUGCGAGCGUGACGGCGCGAGCAGGUGCGAAAGCAGGUCAUAGUGAUCCGGUGGUUCUGAAUGGAAGGGCCAUCGCUCAACGGAUAAAAGGUACUCCGGGGAUAACAGGCUGAUACCGCCCAAGAGUUCAUAUCGACGGCGGUGUUUGGCACCUCGAUGUCGGCUCAUCACAUCCUGGGGCUGAAGUAGGUCCCAAGGGUAUGGCUGUUCGCCAUUUAAAGUGGUACGCGAGCUGGGUUUAGAACGUCGUGAGACAGUUCGGUCCCUAUCUGCCGUGGGCGCUGGAGAAUUGAGGGGGGCUGCUCCUAGUACGAGAGGACCGGAGUGGACGCAUCACUGGUGUUCGGGUUGUCAUGCCAAUGGCACUGCCCGGUAGCUAAAUGCGGAAGAGAUAAGUGCUGAAAGCAUCUAAGCACGAAACUUGCCCCGAGAUGAGUUCUCCCUGAGACUAUAAGUCUCCUGAAGGAACGUUAAAGACGAUGACGUUGAUAGGCCGGGUGUGUAAGCGCAGCGAUGCGUUGAGCUAACCGGUACUAAUGAACCGUGAGGCUUAACCU